GCACUUUGUGCCAUAUGUAAGCCAUCCUGAGUCCUUUUGUGGAGAUGGAGGUUGGUUCAUCAAGUACUCUGCUAUGGCUGACUACAUAGAAAUCCACAAGCAUGUGAACAAUUUCAACAGAAAGGAGGAAACCAUGAAAAUGAAUAAAAGAUUUUGUGUGUAGCCCCCUC